rnacentral:tRNA from 1 species
GCGCCCGUAGCUUAAUGGACAAAGCGCUGGGCUUCGAACCCAGUGAGUGGGGGUUCGACUCCCUCCGGGCGCG